UACGGGGGGGGCAAGCGUUGUUCGGAAUUACUGGGCGUAAAGGGCUCGUAGGCGGCCAACUAAGUCAGACGUGAAAUCCCCAGGCUUAACCUGGGAACUGCGUCUGAUACUGGAUGGCUUGAAUCCGGGAGAGGGAUGCAGAAUUCCAGGUGUAGCGGUGAAAUGCGUAGAUAUCAGGAGGAACACCAAUAGCGAAGGCAGCUCGCUGGGACGGUACUGACGCUAAGGCGCGAAAGCGUGGGGAGCGAACAGG
rnacentral:rRNA from 1 species